GUUCUUCGCGUUGCGUCGAAUUAAGCCACAUGCUCCGCUGCUUGUGCGGGCCCCCGUCAAUUCCUUUGAGUUUUAGCCUUGCGGCCGUACUCCCCAGGCGGGGAACUUAAUGCGUUAGCUGCGGCACCGACGACGUGGAAUGUCGCCAACACCUAGUUCCCAACGUUUACGGCGUGGACUACCAGGGUAUCUAAUCCUGUUCGCUCCCCACGCUUUCGCUCCUCAGCGUCAGUAAUGGCCCAGAGAUCCGCCUUCGCCACCGGUGUUCCUCCUGAUAUCUGCGCAUUUCACCGCUACACCAGGAAUUCCGAUCUCCCCUACCACACUCUAGCUAGCCCGUAUCGAAUGCAGACCCGAGGUUAAGCCUCGGGCUUUCACAUCCGACGUGACAAGCCGCCUACGAGCUCUUUACGCCCAAUAAUUCCGGACAACGCUUGCGCCCUACGUAUUACCGCGGCUGCUGGAACGUAGUUAGCCGGCGCUUCUUCUGCAGGNACCGUCACUUUCGCUUCUUCCCUGCUGAAAGAGGUUUACAACCCGAAGGCCGUCAUCCCUCACGCGGCGUCGCUGCAUCAGGNUUUCGCCCAUUGUGCAAUAUUCCCCACUGC
rnacentral:rRNA from 1 species